rnacentral:rRNA from 1 species
CCUACGGGCGGCAGCAGUCGAGAAUCAUUCACAAUGGGGGAAACCCUGAUGGUGCGACGCCGCGUGGGGGAAUGAAGGUCUUCGGAUUGUAAACCCCUGUCAUGUGGGAGCAAAUUAAAAAGAUAGUACCACAAGAGGAAGAGACGGCUAACUCUGUGCCAGCAGCCGCGGUAAUACAGAGGUCUCAAGCGUUGGUGGGAAUCACUGGGCGUAAAGCGUGCGUAGGCUGUUUCGUAAGUCGUGUGUGAAAGGCGAGGGCUCAACCCGCGGAAGGUACAUGAUACUGCAAGACUAGAGUAAUGGAGGGGGAACCGGAAUUCUCGGUGUAGCAGUGAAAUGCGUAGAUAUCGAGAGGAACACUCGUGGCGAAGGCGGGUUCCUGGACAUUAACUGACGCUGAGGCACGAAGGCCAGGGGAGCGAAAGGGAUUAGAUACCCGAGUAGUC